rnacentral:rRNA from 1 species
CAGUAGCCACGGUAAUACGAAGGGUGCAAGCGUUACUCGGAAUUACUGGGCGUAAAGCGUGCGUAGGUGGUGGUUUAAGUCCGUUGUGAAAGCCCUGGGCUCAACCUGGGAAUUGCAGUGGAUACUGGGUCACUAGAGUGUGGUAGAGGAUAGUGGAAUUUCCGGUGUAGCAGUGAAAUGCGUAGAUAUAGGAAGGAACACCAGUGGCGAAGGCGACCACCUGGACUGAUACUGACACUGAGGUGCGAAAGCGUGGGGAGCAAACAGGAUUAGAGACCCCUGUAGUCCCUGUCUCUUAUAC